rnacentral:rRNA from 1 species
AGGAUGAACGCUGGCGGCGUGCCUAAUACAUGCAAGUCGAGCGGCAGCGAGUUUUGCACCGUUUGCUUGAGGAAUGGGAUUUAUCCCGUUGUUACCUCGAGUAAAUAGUGCAGAAUGUCGGCGAGCGGCGGACGGCUGAGUAACGCGUGGGAACGUGCCCCAAAGUGAGGAAUAACUGCCCGAAAGGGUAGCUAAUGCCGCAUAUGGUCUUCGGAUUAAAGCUUUCGAGCGCUUUGGGGAGCGGCCCGCGUCUGAUUAGAUAGUUGGUGAGGUAAUGGCUCACCAAGUCGACGAUCAGUAGCUGGUCUGGAGAGGAUGAUCAGCCAGAC